ACAUAGAGAUCUCCUGACGCUACUUCUUCCCGGUUAGGUCCGCCCUGCCUAAUGUCUCUCCAGCCUUGACGUUCUGACCCAGCCGUGUACCAGUAGUCCGUCCAUAAACCUGCUUAUUUUUCCUUUAAUAAAAGAACUUAAAACUGC